GGCCGACAAACGCAAACCCGGUGUGAGCCGGGGACGCAAAGCCACAGGGCCCACGAGGCCGGCUGGGUUACCGAC
rnacentral:ncRNA from 1 species